UACGUAGGGUGCGAGCGUUGUCCGGAAUUAUUGGGCGUAAAGAGCUCGUAGGCGGCUUGUCGCGUCGGAUGUGAAAGCCCGGGGCUUAACCCCGGGUCUGCAUUCGAUACGGGCAGGCUAGAGUGUGGUAGGGGAGAUCGGAAUUCCUGGUGUAGCGGUGAAAUGCGCAGAUAUCAGGAGGAACACCGGUGGCGAAGGCGGAUCUCUGGGCCAUUACUGACGCUGAGGAGCGAAAGCGUGGGGAG
rnacentral:rRNA from 1 species